GACGAACGCUGGCGGCGUGCUUAACACAUGCAAGUCGAACGGAAAGGCCCUGCUCUUGUUGGGUGCUCGAGUGGCGAACGGGUGUGUAACACGUGAGUAACCUGCCCUGGACUUUGGGAUAACUUCAGGAAACUGGGGCUAAUACCGGAUAGGAGCUCCUGCUGCAUGGUGGGGGUUGGAAAGUUUCGGCGGUUGGGGAUGGACUCGCGGCUUAUCAGCUUGUUGGUGGGGUAGUGGCUUACCAAGGCUUUGACGGGUAGCCGGCCUGAGAGGGUGACCGGCCACAUUGGGACUGAGAUACGGCCCAGACUCCUACGGGAGGCAGCAGUGGGGAAUAUGGCACAAUGGGCGGAAGCCUGAUGCAGCAACGCCGCGUGCGGGAUGACGGCCUUCGGGUUGUAAACCGCUUUCGCCUGUGACGAAGCGUGAGUGACGGUAAUGGGUAAAGAAGCACCGGCUAACUACGUG
rnacentral:rRNA from 1 species